UACGUAGGGUGCAAGCGUUGUCCGGAAUUAUUGGGCGUAAAGAGCUCGUAGGCGGUCUGUCGCGUCGGAUGUGAAAACCCAGGGCUCAACCCUGGGCCUGCAUUCGAUACGGGCAGACUAGAGUUCGGUAGGGGAGACGUGGAAUUCCUGGUGUAGCGGUGAAAUGCGCAGAUAUCAGGAAGAACACCCGUGGCGAAAGGCGGCGUCC
rnacentral:rRNA from 1 species